UGGCUCAGUUGGUAGAACAUGGUGUUUGCAACGCCAUGGUUGUGGGUUCAAUUCCCAC
rfam:Salmo salar isolate Sally breed double haploid chromosome ssa20, whole genome shotgun sequence.